GCAUCACGGCGGAUGGGAGGCAGAACUAGAUUGCAGCUCCGACUCAAAUGGACAGAGCAGCAUGCAGAGGCUCGCAUUGUGAAUUUUAAUUCCAGAACAACUGCAAGAACCAACCAGGAAUUCCAAGGGGACCCACAGACCCUCUGAAGGAAGCAGAGUGCUCCCAGGAGACACCACCAAUACUCAUCAACUUGUACCUCAAGCUAGAACAAAAUGAGGAAGCAAAACUUCUGAAACAAUGGGGUAACUGUGAAGACUGUGAAGACAAAGCCUGCAAAGACUUCAUGGUUUCAAGGCUUAGUAAUGAAUGCUUACUUGAAAGAAGUGUGUAUCUAGGGCUAUGUUGUAAUCCCAACUCAUCAUCAUUCAAAACAUCCUAAACAUCACUUAUCUUGAAGUUUUAAUAAUAAGAAAAUGUAAGUUUUAACCUUUGCACCAACAAAUUUUACAUAGAAUGAAUGAGUCGGAGUUCUCCAGAGAAACAGACUAAUAGGAUAUAGAUAUAUAUUAUAUAUAAAGGGAGAUUUAUUGUAGGAACUAGCUCAAACAGUUAUGGAGGCUGAAAAAUUCCAUUAUCUGCCACCUGCAAGAUGGAGAAAUAAGAAAGUCAAUGAUGAAAUUCAAUCCAAGUCCCAAAGCCUGAGAACCAGGAAUGCGGAUGUCCAAGAGCAGAAGAAGACAGAUGCCCCAGCUCAAACAGAUAGAGUAAACUUGCCCUUCCUCUGCCAUUUUGUUGUAUUGAUGCCCUUUAACAGGUUAGAUGAUGCCCACCCACAUUGGUGAGGGCCAUUUUCUUUACUCAGUCUACCAAUUCAAAUGCUCAUCUCUUCCAGAAACACCCUCACAGAUACACCCAGAAAUAAUGUUUUCACAGCCGUCUGGCCAUCCCCUAGCCUAGUCAAGUUGACACAUAAAAUUAACCAUCUUAUAGGGCAUCAUGUAAAUAAAAGUCUGGCAAUGAAGGUACUCACAAAACCAUUUAAGGCAACAAACUGUUUUUAAGCACUUUAAAAGCUCACACUGAUGUAUAAACAAUAAAAGUUAAUUACAUAUCAUUCUGAUACAUUCACAAAAAGAUCUAUAUUUGGCAAAACAUCCUGGCAACGUUUUCUUAGCCCAGCAUAUUUACUGCACCCAUUUGAAAGUAAUAAAGAUGGCAUUUCUGAAAAAGUAUCCCAUAAUUCAAACUAUUCACUGCCCCCUCUGUAAGCACAAACCACAGAAAUUUCACUGUAAAUCUUGAGAAAAUGCUCUGCCUUAUAAAAUGCUACCAAUUCGCACUUUAAGUUGCUUAAGUACAGAGUCAAGAAGCGUCAACUAGUCACAGAAUCUUAGACUACUGGAACUAAAUAAGUAAAUUCUAAGAUUACUUGGCCUCAUCACCACAUUAUACUGAUAAAGCAGUCUUGGGAAAGUUAAAAAUUUUGCCCAAAGUAAAGCAAUGAUAUGUAGAAUUAGGACUUGAACCUUUGUACCUCCUACCUCCCAAACUAUACUAAUUCAAAAGAUUGCAGAUCGAGCACCUUAUGUUGCUUUUAUUCUGUAACAAAUAAUUUUGGAAUUACAGAGGAAGCUGCUGUGGAACAGGGACUCCAACUGACUGCAGGAUUCUAACUGCACAAUGAUUUUGUAUGUUCCUGUUCUCAUCUUCCAUAUAACAGCAGACAUAGUGUAUUUCUGCUUUUCUAAGGUAUAGUAUGUGCUUCCAGACUCUCCAUGGGCCUGUUUUGUGGAUGGGUCUAAUCACACAGAGGACACUUCUUACUUGAUAGUUACAUGGAGAGAUAAUGUAUUUUUUUCCAGCUUAGCCCCAAAGCAAUCAGUUGACAAGUCCAGAGAAGACCCCUGCGGUAAAGUGAAAAUAUAAAGACUCUCUGGGUAGCAGGUGUUUCCCUUUUAAUGACAGCUUAACUGGUGAAGUGUUGAGCAGAACACUGCUGUUUAUACCCGCUGUUUGCAGUGGGCUGGAAGCCAGCCCAAACCUGCCUUGGUGACAUUUCAGGUCAGACUAUUAUAUCAGGAAAUUCCCACAUAGCCAGUGGACAGUGGCGGGCUGCAGCCUGCACACUUGUAACUAGAUCCAGAAAAGCAGAAAUUCAAGGAAAGAUGGGCAACCUAGGUCUGUGGUGCACAAUGAAGGUUUUAAGGGGCAGAAGAGAACGAAGUACAAGCUUUGCCUGAAAUCUACAUGUCUCUGGUUAAAGAAGAAAAUUACAUAGUAGAUGAUGACAUGAAUGGAGAACAAAUUAAAUCAUGUUUAAGACUGCGGUGACUCAUCUUCUCAUUCUUUCACACGGUAGAUUUAUGUCAUUAAGCUCCUCGAAUGGUAAAGUACCCACUAGUCCGUGGAUGAGUAUUUGAAAGCUAAUAUUCUUCAACCUUCAUUAAAUGUAUAAUCUGGCAGAGUAGGACAAAUGUAUACAAAUAACUUUUAAGUACAGUAAAAUUGACCUAAAAACAAAGUUCUUUCCUAAUUUGAAGGCUGCAAAGGAUACUUUUCUGAUCAAUGGUACUAGAAAAGACUUAAAGAAAACAUGAAUUUGCAUAAGGAGUAGGACUUCCAUCUAUUAGGAGAAAUAAAAUAACUUUAUAAGUUUAGCAAUCAAUAUGAAUUGAAGAUUGGGAAAAGGGAUGCAGACAUGUUAGGGAAUACUAGGAAAAAACAAGGACCCCUAUGUUAAAUGGAACAAGGCUCUUUGUAGGAAAAUAAUAAAUAUUAAGCCUGAAAGUACAAACUUGGCUAAUAUGGUUGAAGUGUUCGUAAAUGUGAAUGAGAAAUGUUUUCUUGCAUUGAGAGAUAUUGAAUGUUUUUGAUAUGAAAACACCA